UACGUAGGGUGCAAGCGUUGUCCGGAAUUACUGGGCGUAAAGAGCUCGUAGGUGGUUUGUCGCGUUGUUCGUGAAAACCGGGGGCUUAACCCUCGGCGUGCGGGCGAUACGGGCAGACGUUGAGUACUGCAGGGGAGACUGGAAUUCCUGGUGUAGCGGUGAAAUGCGCAGAUAUCAGGAGGAACACCGGUGGCGAAGGCGGUUCUCUGGGCAUGACCUGACGCUGAGGAGCGAAAGCAUGGGGAGC
rnacentral:rRNA from 1 species